AAGUCGAACGGUGAUGACCAGCUUGCUGGUCGGAUCAGUGGCGAACGGGUGAGUAACACGUGAGUAACCUGCCCCAGACUCUGGGAUAAGCCUUGGAAACGAGGUCUAAUACUGGAUAUGAGAUGCCCCUGCAUGGGGAGUGUCUGGAAAGAUUUAUCGGUCUGGGAUGGACUCGCGGCCUAUCAGCUUGUUGGUGGGGUAAUGGCCUACCAAGGCGACGACGGGUAGCCGGCCUGAGAGGGCGACCGGCCACACUGGGACUGAGACACGGCCCAGACUCCUACGGGAGGCAGCAGUGGGGAAUAUUGCACAAUGGGCGCAAGCCUGAUGCAGCGACGCCGCGUGAGGGAUGAAGGCCUUCGGGUUGUAAACCUCUUUCAGCAGGGAAGAAGCGCAAGUGACGGUACCUGCAGAAGAAGCGCCGGCUAACUACGUGCCAGCAGCCGCGGUAAUACGUAGGGCGCAAGCGUUGUCCGGAAUUAUUGGGCGUAAAGAGCUCGUAGGCGGUUUGUCGCGUCUGGUGUGAAAACUCAAGGCUCAACCUUGAGCUUGCAUCGGGUACGGGCAGACUAGAGUGCGGUAGGGGUGACUGGAAUUCCUGGUGUAGCGGUGGAAUGCGCAGAUAUCAGGAGGAACACCGAUGGCGAAGGCAGGUCACUGGGCCGCAACUGACGCUGAGGAGCGAAAGCAUGGGGAGCGAACAGGAUUAGAUACCCUGGUAGUCCAUGCCGUAAACGUUGGGCACUAGGUGUGGGGCUCAUUCCACGAGUUCCGUGCCGCAGCAAACGCAUUAAGUGCCCCGCCUGGGGAGUACGGCCGCAAGGCUAAAACUCAAAGGAAUUGACGGGGGCCCGCACAAGCGGCGGAGCAUGCGGAUUAAUUCGAUGCAACGCGAAGAACCUUACCAAGGCUUGACAUACACCGGAAACUUCCAGAGAUGGUUGCCCCGCAAGGUCGGUGUACAGGUGGUGCAUGGUUGUCGUCAGCUCGUGUCGUGAGAUGUUGGGUUAAGUCCCGCAACGAGCGCAACCCUCGUCUUAUGUUGCCAGCACGUCAUGGUGGGGACUCAUAAGAGACUGCCGGGGUCAACUCGGAGGAAGGUGGGGGAUGACGUCAAAUCAUCAUGCCCCUUAUGUCUU
rnacentral:rRNA from 1 species